rnacentral:rRNA from 1 species
UACGGGGGGGGCAAGCGUUGUUCGGAAUUACUGGGCGUAAAGGGCUCGUAGGCGGCCAACUAAGUCAGACGUGAAAUCCCUCGGCUUAACUUGGGAACUGCGUCGGAUACUGGUGGGCUUGAAUCCGGGAGAGGGAUGCGGAAUUCCAGGUGUAGCGGUGAAAUGCGUAGAUAUCUGGAGGAACACCGGUGGCGAAGGCGGCAUCCUGGACCGGCAUUGACGCUGAGUGAGCGAAAGCCAGGGGAGCAAACGGG